CAACUACCUAAGAGUUCUGGGGUCGUUCGGAGUUGUUGUAAUAUGAGUAUUGUUGAAGCGCCUAGCCGUUGCUUCAUAGCAACACGUUUCCGACGGCCUAAUGAAGUAAUUUAAGCAGGCGCAUUAAUGCACCGUAUGUCUUCACUUGCUUGUGAUGCAUUGUACUGUGUGCACCAAAAUUAUAUUUCUCCGUUGUUUGAGUAUUUCUACAGUUCUUUUAUUCCUGCAAGACCUCGUAAUCCUCAACAUGGCCCAUUACGAGCAGGAUAUAUGAAGAUCAGCGCUUAAAAUUGAAGGAAGAAAUAAUUAAGGAUCGUCAAUUAGCCGGGCGUGACAAUUAGCCGGCGUGACUUGCAGGUUUUGUGCAGGACAAUUAUUUGGACUGAUCUCAAGCAAUUUAAUUGCGGUGUAUUGCAUUUAUUGUUAUUAAUAUCAUCACCCAACACUCAGGUAAUAUAAAUAAAAGUAUAUCGUCAAGAAAUAUCACAGGUUGAAUACACUUGUCUCCCAGCAUGUCCGAGGAAAGGGAAUUAGUUAAGAAGCGAGGAAGCUUCAAAGGUCGAUUGACUGCUUUCGUUAACUUUCUGGAUUCACUCAAGGACAGAACCCUAACCAGUUGUGACACGGCUGAGCUGCAGUUGCGCAUAGGCAAGAUGGAGUCGUUGUAUGAGCAGUAUGAUGAGGUACAGUUACGUCUGGAAUGCAUUGUCGAGGACAUAAAAUUACAAUUUUCCGAACGUACUGAUUUUGAGUCUCUUUAUUAUAAAUCCUUGUCUAGGGCACAGAAUAUUAUCAGUGAACAUAAUAAAGAUAAUGGGUCGAUGGAAAGCUGUAAAAGUAUUCACACUUAUGUGCAUAAGCCAGUUAAGUUGCCAACAAUUCAGUUACCUAAGUUCAGCGGUUUAUAUACGAAUUGGCUGGAAUUCCGUGACACCUUUAGUAGUCUUGUCCAUUGCAAUGAUAGCAUUGACGAUAUUAAUAAAUUCCACUACUUGAGAGCAUCUCUUGAAGGGUCGGCUGCGGUAGUUAUUAAUUCUAUUGAAUGUUCCUCGAGUAAUUAUUCUGUGGCAUGGCAGUUGUUAUGUGAUCGGUUUGAUAACAGAAGAUUACUCAUACAAAAUCAUGUGUCUGCGUUAUUUAAUGUUGAAAGUAUCACAAAGGAGUCUUCUGUUGUAUUAAAGUCUUUAAUUGAUUUAAUAAAUAAAAACUUGCGAGCAUUAGAGUCGUUAGGUGAGCCUGUUAAGCAGUGGGACACGUUAUUGAUUUAUAUUGUAACUCGCAAGCUUGAUCAAAUGACCUAUCGCGAGUGGGAAGAGUGCAAAGGCAGGUUAGAUAAGGACAGCCCUAUAACAUUCGACGACUUCAUGAAAUUCCUGCGUAAUCGAGCUGAUCUUAUUGAAACCUUAGAAUUAUCGCGCAAUAAUUGUUCCCAAACAUCUAAUAAAUCAUGUCCUAAGAUAAAAUCUAUGGUAGCUACACAGUCUCUUAAUCACAACUUAAAUAACAACGAAAUAUCUCGCAAAGUGUGUCCUAAUUGUAACGAUGAUCACUCGUUAAAUAAUUGUCCACAGUUUCUCGCACUCAGCAAUGACGCUCGACUACAACUAUUGCCCACCUUUAAGAUUUGUUUUAACUGCUUUCGGUCCGGUCAUUAUGCCAAUAAAUGUAAAAAACCAGGUUGUAAUCUAUGCAAGCGCAGGCAUAAUACACUAGUUCACACCGAUAGUAAAUGCACUGAGGUGAAUACAGCUAGUGCUAACUCAAAUAACUCGUCAGCAUCUUCGUCUGUAUCGUCUGCUUCCACGGACACGAGUAACGUAGCAUUGUCAGCAAACAUUGCAUCAUCCCGUGAUCAUAAGCAGCGUGAUGUGUUGUUAUCCACCGCACAGGUUAAACUGCGGGACCACAAUGGCGUGGUACACGUCGCUCGCGCGGUUCUGGAUAGCGGCAGCACAUCGUCAUUCAUCACAGACCGGUUAUGCAGACAAUUGAAGUUAGCAACAACACAAGUAAAUCAAUCUAUACUCGGCAUUAAUAAUGUGACGUCGCACGUAGGUAAAUUGUGUCGUGUAAGGAUAACACCGAUGGACGAUAGUGUUACUUUCGAUCUUAAUUGUUUUGUUUUGCCAUACAUUACAAGUAACGUUCCGUGCCGUGAAAUUAAUUAUGCCGAAUUAAAUAUUCCGCUAAAUAUAACUUUAGCAGAUCCUACAUUUUGCAAGCCCGCUGAAGUAGAUAUUCUCAUCGGUGCUGAUCUCUUUUGGGAUUUGUUAGGAUCACAGAGAAUAAA